CACAGAGUUAGCCGGUGCUUCUUAUGUAGGUUAAGUCAGCCUCUUGCAUUAUUAGAGCAAGAGCUUUCGUCCCUACCGAAAGGGCUUUACAACCCGCAGGCCUUCUUCACCCACGCGGCGUCGCUGGAUCAGGGUUUCCCCCAUUGUCCAAUAUUCCCCACUGCUGCCUCCCGUAGGAGUCCGGACCGUGUCUCAGUUCCGGUGUGGCUGAUCGUCCUCUCAGACCAGCUACGGAUCGUCGCCUUGGUGGGCCGUUACCCCGCAACUAGCUAAUCCGAUUUGGCUCAUCCAUCAGUGCCAGGCCUUGCGGUCCCCGGCUUUCCUCCGUAGAGCGUAUGCGGUAUUAGCCCGGGUUUCCCCGGGUUGUCCCCCGCUGAUGGGCAGAUUCCCAAAUAUUCCUCACCCGUCCGCCUCUCGUCAGCAUGUAUUGCUACACCUGUUACCGAUCGACUUGCAUGUGUUAAGCACGCCGCCAGCGUUCAAUCUGAGCCAGGAUCAAACUC
rnacentral:rRNA from 1 species